UUGAACUAUUGUCCAAGUAACUAUAUCUUGGAAAGUUUAAAAUUGAGCAAUCAACACCUUAACAUCACUUAAAAUUCCAAAUAAUCCUCUGCUGCUCAAAUUACUGUCAAAGUAAGAGCAAAUUAACAGAAAAGAGAAAUAGAAAAAGCUGAAGAGAGCUUUGGUUCACCUUUUUGUUUGUUUGUUUGUUUUUGUUUUGGAAAAGUCUUGGAGAAGAGGAAGUUUUUACCUUAUUUUCAUCCUUUUUUCAUAUCCAAAUUGAGAAUGGCUGAUUUCUUUAUUUAGAAGAUGACUUUUAUAUAUCAUUUGGGUUUGUUGUUUGUUCUUUUCAGUUGGAGAUUCCAAAGCAGCUAUUUUAUCCAAACGUGUUCAAUGCGUGGAUGAUUCUUUUCUUAAAUAUAUUGGGGAGUUCCGUUCCCUUGGAAGGGCAGCCUGCUGAUCCCGAGCUUAGGAAAUCAUGGGGAUGGUGGAAGGUCAAGAAAUGGACGAUUCACAUUUUAAACAGGCUGUACACUUGAUUUGAACCUUCAAAACCCAGAAAACACAGCUUUUGCUCAAAUGUUUCAUUAGAAAUAUGCUGGAAAGAUCUUGGAGUGUCACAUAAAUUUGCUUAUUGUGAUUCGUGUUGGUGGCUAUUUAUCCGACAGAGUUAUCAACCUUAUUCUUCAGUACCUAAGCAACAGUUGAAUGUUACCACACUAGAAAGCUUGGUUCCACUCACAGAAUUGGAAGGAGUUGAGCAUUGCACAAAAUUGCUUGGAGGGCAAUGUGUCUUAAAUGCAUUUCGCCGAUUUGUCUUCACACUCUAUUAUCACGAAUGAAAGCUCCAAUGGAGCUCCUACUCUUAAAAUCAAUGCCAUCACAGUGAGUUCUUGUCAGAUUGGUCCACAAUUUCCUACAUGGUUACCAAUCUUAAGCAGUGGGACAUCUCACAAUUUCAGAGGGUUCUAGACUGGUUCUGGAUUUUGGCUAUGUACCUUAAAUUGAUCAAUCUCCUUAAGAACAAACUUGACAACAAUGCAUCCAAGGUAUUGCUAAAUUCUGAACUCAUUGAUUUAGCUAUAAUUGUUUCAAAUGUUAGCUAACAUGAUUAUUUCCUAAUGUAACAAUUUUGAAUAUUCCACUUGAUUAUUUUUCUAUACCAAUAUCCUUAUUUUUGAGCCAAAAACAUGAAUAGAGAUUGGCCUGACAUAGCAGAUAAAUCUCUAUCAAGAAAGCUUCAUCAUUGGCAAAUGCAUGGGCUAUCUUUAACCCAUAGUGAACUAGGAACAACAACCCUUCAGAUGUAAUUCAAAAUUCUUUGGCUCCCUUGUAUAAGCUUGGACCCUUGUACUUGAACAACAAUUGCUUCUUCAUAAUUGGUUUUGGGCAUAAGCAUAAAUUGCUUAUCCCAUUAGGGGUGAGUGCCUUUGGAUUACUUGGUAACUAAUACUGGCAGGUGGGGUUAGUUGUCCCUAAGUUUUACUUGCUAGAUGUGAGCCCAAUGGGCUCUUUUUUAGAAAGGUUCUCUAUGUUAUCCCAAAAAGAAAUUGUACCUUUUCCAUUGCUGUAGAACUACACACAUUGUGGGCCCCUUGAUCUAGACGAUUCACAUGGAUUUGAAUGAAGCCAGACGGGUGAAAUUAUACUCCUCCAAAAAUCUGUCGACCUGCUUCUCUUUUGGUAUUGAUAUUUUGUCAAUAAUAGCCUCUAGACAUAUAUCAAGGUGUUCAAAUGAACAUGAAACUUAUAGUUCUUUUCUCUAGCACUUUGUAAAAGUCUUUUAUUCUUCCGUAUUUGUAAGGAGCUUAGACCUUUCAAGCAACUUGUCUAUAUCAAUUUCUAUUGAGCUCUUACUGGA